GGAGCUCGCUAGGAGGCCGGCAAGACCGGAAGCAGAGCUGGGCCAGGCUUGGCUGGGGCGGGGUUACCUGACCAGUGGGAGAGAAAAGAAGUGCCUUCCCCUAGCAUUAUUUUUGAAACAAUACCGUUAAAUACCUUCCUGGAGCCAUAAAAAAAAAUGUUACUGGUCUUGGGCGAAUGAGAGCUUCCAAACUGCCUGUGUAGACGGCUCAUUUACACCUCCCAGGAAGGACCGAAGCAGCUUUCUCUCAUUUUUAUUCCUAAGGUCAUCUGACGAUAGCCUAAAUAAGUCAACCUAACCGGCGCGCACAGCAAAGAAGCAGCUAGAGCGGCUCAGGCCCCAGAGCCGCGGGAAGGGCGGCCGCCAUGUUGGCCCCGGGCGCCUUCCCGCCGCCUUCUCGUCGCGAGGUGAGGCCGCCCGCGGCUCGUCCCCGGCUCGCGCGGCCAGGGAUGGAGGCAGGUCGCGGGCACACCUCGGAGAAGGAAAGCAGGUGGCAACGAGUACGUGACAAAUCCCGGGGAACUCCGCUGCCAGAGCCGGAAGGGCACGAAGACGUAGACGUCUACUAAAAUGCCUGCUUUUAAAAUAUGUCUGUGCCUGUGUUCGGUGGGACAGCAGGAUGAGAUGUCCUUGUUUCACCUUACUUGGAAUCUGGAAUGUCCUGAAGUCGUGACAUUAUGAGAAGAUAACUUGAUUGUACUUGUAGUUUCCUAAUAUUUCAAACCAGAAUAACUAUGAAUAAUUUUAAAAUCUAUUUCCAGACCCAUGUGUGUUAACAUCAUAAUUUGAACUCUUGAAUCCAUAAUUGCUUCUAUUAAUAAUUGGAGGAUUUUAGACUCCAACAUUCAAUAUAUUAUAAGAAAAACAGAUUCAUGCUGAUCUUUCCAUUAUGUGUUUUUCUAGUUUCAGUGUAACACAUUGCUAAGACUCAACUUAUCCCAUCAAAAGUGUUUCGUAAAAAUCCACAUAAUUCAAAAUUUGCAGUGGGUUUUGUUUAUGAUUCAUAAAUCACGUGGUAGAGUGUGACUUAAAAGGAAGCACACAGGGAAAUGUAUAUAAGGCUUAGUGUUAGUCAGGAUUUGGUUAAGAUAAGAAUGACCAAAAAAAGAAAAUCCCAAAAUAACAGUAGCUUACAUAAUAUAUGUGUUUUUCCCUCAUAUAAAGCAAGAAGUAAA